UAUCUAUCAUUUCUAUUUGUUAGGAACAUUUCAAGUCCUCUCUUGUAGCUAUUCUGAAAUAUACAAAAAAUAAUUUUUAGUAUAAAUAUGUCCCAAAUGUUUCAUGGGACAUCUAUCUAUUCUAAAAAGCGAUUUAUUGUUUAUCUGAAAUUUAAAUGUAACUGGACUUUCUGUACUUCUGCUUGCUAAAUCUGACAACCCUGGGUGUGUGGCUUAUAGACUCCUAGCUUCUAAGUGCUUGGCUAUGGACUAUAGGUUUUCAAUCCAGAGACUGGUUCCAUUUAACUUAAUCCCUUCUUCUGGGCACUAUAUCUCAUUCCCACCCUGUACUUCUCCUCAGUUCAGAGCUCUUCAUUUUAUUUCUCCAGAGGAUACAUUUCUGGCCUUCUAAAGGUAGAAUAAAGGGAGUGACCUGGCUGUGUUAGCAGAGGACUUACUGGGUACUGAGCAUUCUAUAGAGUGACUUCCUAGCAAUCUCUUUGAGCUUUUAGUGUCUUAAGCUUUGAACAUCCCUUACAAUUGAACUUAAUUCUAACUGAUGCAAUGCCACAGUGCUUUUCAAAGGGAGUCAUUUCAAAGCGAGUGACACAAGACUUCCUAGAAGAAGUGAUAGAAGAGAGCGAUCCUAAAGUAUGGUCAGUCAGGAAGAUGGGGAGUGGAGGAACAGGAUUCCAUGUGGGAAUGGUGAUACAGUGAGGGCACAGGGAACGUUACAUACGGUGUUCCACAGGGUGCUGCAUAGACUACUCUGGUUGACGUACAACAGUCAUGUAGGGGAGAAGUGGAAGGUAAGAAUGAAAAAAGGUUGGGGGCAGGUUAUAGAGGGUCUUGAAAGUCAAACCAAGUUUAGAACUUACUUUGAAAGCAAUGGGGACACUGAAGGUUUUUGAGAUGGAAGUUGGAGAUACAGGUCUACGGUGUGAGGGAGGGUUACAGUGAAGAAUUUCAGAGUCUUCUACACACAGGUCAUAACAUAAAUAGAAGUAACAUAGAAAUGAGGCCAGGAGAGUGAUCUGAGUAGAGAAAGAAGAACAUGGUUCAAGAGCUUAAACACAGGAGCAAGGAGAAAAGAAACCUGCCAAGGAUCUAGAAAAGAAGAGAGAAAGGCAGCUGGAGAUUGGGGAAGCAAGGAGAGUAGAAAUUGAUAAAACCCAUUAAACCUUCAGAUAUCUCAAAGCAGAUGGAAACUAUCAGAAAUGAGUACAGGCCAUUGAAUUUGAGGAGAGAAAUGUCUUUGGUGACCUCUGAGAGUACAAUUUGAUAGAGUGCGGAGAUGGACUCUGCUCUCCAUGGUGUAAAUGGGUGUUAGGAAAAUAGAGGUACUAAAUGUGCUGUGUUUAUUUAAAAAGGUAGACAGUAAAAGAAAGGUAAAUAGAAAAGCAAUUAAAGAUCUCCAUGGGGUCAAAUGAAAUAAUUUUUUUAAGGGAGUGACAUGGUUUAGUCUUUAAGAUAAGAGAAAACAGUGCAAAUGAGUGGUGGAAGAAACUUCCAGGCUGCUAAAAGAGGUGGCACCUGUUAAAGCACGUCCCACUGAAAAUGGGAGGGUGCAAUUUCCAGCUCAGAGAAAGGACCGAACGUUGUUGAAAAGGAGAGAAAGCUCUUCUAAGAAAGAGACAGAAAAGAAUCAAGGAAUGAACUGUUGGAUUGCUAGUUAAUUUUCCAUCACUGAAUAUUUUUCAUCUUCAUUAUCAAUGCCAUUAUACAGCUGACCAGAAAUUAACAGUCUUAAAUAGCAAUAUUAGUUAUAUCUAAGAUAAAAAUGGCCAUCACUUAGUUUCAGAGUUGUGUGUCAAACAAGGCUCAUAAAACAGAAGAAAAAUAGAAAUUUUGUGAAUAUAGCCUUCCUUGAUUCUCUUGGCUUAUAUACACCACUUUAAUGGACUUCAUUUAUAUGAGAAAGAAACAACAACAACAAAAAAUUUAGCUCAUUUACACAUUGAUAUCAAUGCUAGAAUAACCAGGUAAGCUCUAGUGUAGAACUGGAGAUUAAUUACAGGAUGGAACUUUAGAUAUCCAUUUGUCAAACAGAUCAAAUGCCAAUACCUACUCAAAGUACAGCGUGAGGUCUGUUGCCAAUAUUGACUGCUUCAAAAGCUGCAUAAGGUCACUAUAUUCCUUGGAGGACAGGUUAGCAAAGAUAUUAUGACCCUGUAAUGAGAAAGUAAGAAGUCACAAAGGACAUUAAAUCUGUGGUUGUUGAUUACAUGUUUUUCCUCUAUUAAAAAAAAGUCUGGGAACAUUAAAAAAUCACUUUUUAAAAAGCGUAGUGAAAUUUUGCAUAAAUAUAAACAGAUUCCCGGCAAACAUAGCUUAGCCAGAAUGCACAGUCAUUUUUGAGAAAGUCUAACAAGGGACACUUUGUUAUGUACUUAGUCUCAAAGGGAAAAUCUAAAAUUGUUGGAACUUAUCUUACUGUGAAUAUGUUGUGGCCAGAAUUCCAUCUGACUACCCAUUUCCUAUGGAAUUACUUAGAGGAGAAGUUUGUGAAACAUUUGGGAACAUUUCUCCCCCUAAAAUAAAUGCUAUUUUUACUACCAGUAAAGGUUUAAGCCGGCAUUUUGGGAACAUGUGCUAUGGUAACAAAUGAGUUUAAGAAAAAUAAAAAGCCAUUAGAACAGUGGUUCUCAACUGGGGGCGAUUUCGACAAUGGGGAACUUCAGCAAGGUCUAGUGACAUGUUUGAUUGUCACACUGGCUGGAGUGCCACUGGCAUCUAGCAGUAGUGGCCAGGGAUGCUGCUACACAUCCAUGAUGCACAGGAGACCCCCACAACAAAGAUUUACCUGGCCCAACACAUCACUGCUGCAGAUGCGGAGGAACCCCGUCUCCCCCCAUUAAGGUGCACUUUGAUGAAGCGUGUGGCAGGCUAAAUUCAGGAUGGUGAAUAUGAAUAAUUACUGAAUAGCUAGGAUGUAUAAGACAUUGUUCUUGGCACAGUGGGACCCUAAAAUGACAUUUACCUAAGUAAAGUUGGGAUGACAUCUUUAUCUUCAUACCUUUGACAGGUACCCUUGUUUUCAUCAACACUUGUGUUAGCUACACUUAGGCUAAAACAUUUGUCUUUAGUAAAGUGAAAAACCCAUACAGACCAACAAUUCACUUAGUUUGUUUUUAAAGUCAGGACUUUUCAUUUUUCAGGUUUUCUUAGUGUGAAAUAUGAACUCAUGAGCAUAUGGCCUGGGAACUGGACCAGUUUUAAAUCUCGUGUUGAGAGCCAGAAGAUGCUGGAGAAGGAAAGUGGUGGAAUAACUGCCUGAGAAUGAACCAUUCUCCAAUGAGAGGAGAAGACCUUGUGAAUAUUCUGCAGAGUGCAUUUUAUCUACUCUAUGUGAAAGGCUGACGGCCUUCUACUAUGGCCUCCCAGUUCACAGUCACGCUAUGAUAUCUCAGUGUGGAACUCCGAAAAGUUCUCUGGAUUUGGAGCGAAAUCUCAGCUCUUCCUCCAAGUAGUAGCUUCAGACGGUUACUUGGCCUUUUUAAGAGAGGCUUCGACAUUGAAAGGGCAAUCUGGCCUUAACUUGGAAAUGCUGGAGAUUGACUGCACACAAUCUGUCCUGCUAGUGAGAGAAGCAAGGACUGCAUCUAAGUGCAACAUGAAGACUUUUGGUCCCAAGCUUUCCUCCAACUUCAGUGGGAGGCAGCCCAAAACCACCAUCGGUUCAAGGGUAAAGGGACCUGCAAUUCUUGGAAAGACUCUCCCAAUUCUUCUCCCAACAUGUGGUCAGCUCUUCCAGCAGGAUUAAGUUCAGUAGGAAUUAUUGAAUAUAAUACAGUGUAAAAUAUCGGAAUUAUUAUUAUUCUUAGUAAUGUGCUUAGUAAGGAGGGCAUUAGAUUUUAAUCAUGUAUGUGUUAUUUCUUUAAAUCUUGCCUUAAUUUAUAUCAUUUAAUAAGUGAAAAUUUGCUAGGUGAAUCUUAAUGAUAAAUUAAUGUUUAAUGGUAGUUACUAUUUGUCUUACAUAGAGUUCAUUUCUAUGAAGUUACGUGUUUCAAAAUGUAUGCUAUAUGCCUUUGUCUUGGCUGUUGAAAUUCUGCAAUGCUUUAUGUGCAUAUCACAUCCUAGAGCCUGGCGUAGAGUAAGUGCUUUAAAAAUUACUGGUUGCUUGUCUAAUCAGCUUACAGUAGCUACCAUGUCGAGAGACUACAGUACAAGUUGGGAGGUUGAUAAUAAGUGUUUUAGCAUAUUUUAUAACACUAAUAUGAUUAUUAAUAAUAAAAGCCACCAUUAGUAAGUAUCUACCAUGCCCUAGUCGAUAUAUUAACAACUUAAUACAUUAGAGCAUUUAUUCCUGACAAUGACCAUGAUAUAAGUAUUAUUUUCUCAUCUACACAUGAGGAAAACAGGGCUCAGAGAAGUUAAGUAACUUUUCCAAGGUCACACAGCUCGCUUGUACCAGUUCCAGAUUUGAAUCCAAGUUUUUAAGCUUCUUGUUACAUAAUGAAAAUGAUAAUUAUAACAUACAUUUCUGAUAUUUGAUUCUCCAUUUUUACUAAGCUGGUUGUUACCAAUGAAAGAAGAUUUCAAAAUCUAAUUCAGAAUUCUAUUAGUAUCAUUGCUAACCACAGGUUGAUUCAUGUGAUCAUUCCUAUGAAUCAGCCAUGCUCACAUGCACCUCACUUACUAGUGUGAAUCUUUUGUACAAGAUACAAAAUGUUAUCUCUUCCCUUAUUAGUGUUGGGUUAACAGACUGCACAAAAGUUGCAUCAGCUAGAUGAUCAGAAGUCACUCUGUAUCUUCUUUGUUUCCGUGAAUAAGGAGAUGUUUUCUCCUUUAAGGGGGUGGGGAUGGGGAGGACGACAACACUUUUUAACAAGUACACCAUGGCUUCUGAAGCACUGCUCCUUUCUGUGCACAGGAUGGAGGCCUCUCCCCCAUAUCCAUAUGCCUCCGAUCUGGUGUGUUCUAUCUCCCAGUAUUUGUGCAAAGGCAGCCACUGUCUAUGGUUUGAGCAUCUUCCUCGUCAGAUUCCCUCUUUGUUCCCUUCUGUAAUUCCAUCUUACAUUCUGCCCAGCCUCAUACGAUACUGAUUCAAUCACAAAAGUAGGUAGAUUUUGCCACUGAACCAGACUAAUGCCAUGAAAGUGUGGGGAGGCUUUGUUAUUCAUUCAUUCAUCUAUCAUUCAUUCAACCAAUAAGCAUUGAUAACUAUUAUUAUGUCAGGUCGCAGGCAUGUGGAAUACAAAGAGAAAUAAGACAUGUCCUGACCUUCAGGAAGCUCACAAUCCCCUACAAUUGUGUCAGGAAUUUUUCUCUGAUCAACCUUGCACUAAAAAUUCUCACUUUUCUGCAAGCAAGGUGCCAUCUUAGCCCUCAGAGAAUGGAGCAUGUUACUAACUCAACUUUGAGGGGUUUUUUAAAAGUAAAGUCAUCUAAGCAAGAAUACUUCCAUUUCCAAAUGGAUCCCUUAUUUACACUAUCAGAUUUGGUCCCUGGCAGGUUUUCUAGACUGCCAAAACCCUCAGUGCCUUUUGUCUCAGGCCAAGGCCUAUUAGGAAUGCUGCCUAUAUCUGCUGGUACACACUGGGAACUUCCUGGGACCACCAAGAGCCAAGUCUACAGUCUUGAUAUAAGUGGCAAAAAAAUAAAACAUAUCUGUGAAGAUAAGCUUUAUCAAAAAGUAUUCUACAGAAUACAGUUCUUUUGAAUGUUAAAUGGCAUUAAGAGAAGAAGUAAAAAGGGUUCCAUGGCCACAUAAGUUUGGAAAAUGCUGGCUUUAAAAAGUGGAUCUGUUUAUUUAUGGUAAGGAUUUUCUAGAGGCGGCAAUAUGUGAAAAUGCAUUGUGAUUUUGUGGGAGGGGAACAUAAUAAGCAGCAUUAUCUACUUUUGAUUGAUCGUGAAACCUUUUUUUUUUUUUUUUUUUUUAGAUGGAAUCUUGCCCUGUCGCUCAGGCUGG